GUGGUUCAGGACGUGAGGGUCAGAUGAGAUGUGGUGGUGCAGACAACAAGGACACAAGGGUUAGGGUUAAAGCAGCAGUACGACACACACCUGUGUGGCCUCCUGGUUCUGCCGGUCCAGUUCUUCCAGCUCUGCUGUGAGGGUGUCCAUGCUGAUGUGUGCUUGCUUUAACGCUUCCUCUCUCUGCUCCAGCUGCUUCAUCAGGUCUGUGACUUCUUGCUGCUGCUCCUCAGAGCUUUCGGCUUCACGAGACGUUCUCCGGUUCUCGGCUACCGCGAGUCUCUCCACUAACACCGACUGUUCGUGGUGAUGGAACACAGCAGCAGGAUAACGGAGCAGAAGCUGGUGGUGAAAUGUCACACUGAGGAGGAACAAACGUAGCUGUUAAACAGCCCAAAUUUCAUUCCUAACCUUCUCCUUCUCUACUUCUUCUCUCUCCAUCCUGAGUGCGUCGAUGACGGUGUUGAGCUCCAGAAUGUCUGCGUGUUCGACCUCAGCACUCUGAUUUAUCAGGAAGUAAAAAGUGAAAUGAGAUAAAAAUUGAGACCUGAUGCUGAUGAGAAAGGAAAUAAAAGAAGGACUUACGUGAGUGAGAGAUUUUAACCUGGACACCUCUUUAUCAGCGUCUGUAAGAGAAGAUUAAACAUUUACAGUAUAAAUGAUAUCAGUGUAUAAAAGCUGACAUUGAUUACAUUUGUUCGUUCUGACCCGACAGCUCUAAGUCUAGUAACUAAGCAUGAAAAAAUCUCCAGUAAUAAAGCAGAUUAAUAAUAAAGCCCCAUUUCACCGGCGAGUGCUUUCCUCAGCGCCAGCAUCUCGCCGUCAUGCUGCGCUUUGACCAUCGCCUUGCUCUCCUGCUCCUGAACCCGAGUCUGAAGUUCACUAACAGAACUCUGGAGUCGAGUGUAGUUCUGCAGAAGUUCAGAGUUUUCCGCCAUGGUCUCCUCCUUCUCCCGCUGAAGCUCCGCCCCCUGGCGCCGAGCCUGCUCGAGACUUGCUGUUAGAUCGCUGCACUUUGCGUUCUGAAGCUCCGCCUCCUCGCGCAGGGAGCGAAUCGUAGCCUGCAGCUCUUCCAGUUUGGAGGAAUCCGGCGACGGCGAUGCGGAGAUUGUGACAGCAGCUCCUGAACACAAAACUCCUCGAUCCUCUCUUCGUACUCCGCCAGCUCGUCCCUGUGCCGCUUCGCCAUGUCCGCCAUUUUCUGCCGAUGAGCGUCCUGCAGCGCGGUCAGCUCGUGCUGGUGCUCGUCCACCUCACGGCCCAUUUCCUCUCGCAGCUCCUGAUCAAUUGGUUACCAUGACAUUAUUCAGCAAACAUACCGCAGUGCUGCUUCCUUCUGAUUGGUCAGUCAUUGUUCACCCAGACAACUCAAUCACAGGUUUAUUCUCAUGCUGGUUGUAAAUACUUUAUAGUUUCCAGCUCAGUUCAGGUGUGUAACAGACCAGAGGAGGAUCUCACCUUGAUGGAUUUCUGCAGCUUCAGGAUUUCCCCGUGGUCUCCCUUCUCUGCUCCUGUCACGUUCGAAGCCUGUUACAAAAAAAUAUAUUAAAAAAACCCUCAAAAUGUUAAAAUUAAACCCCAUAAAAUCGCGUGUUUAAUCUGUCAGUAAAACUACCUGAGCCACUCUCCUCCAAUGAGUGACGUCUGCCUCCAGACGCUGGACCUCGUGGGACAGCCGGUUGAUUUCCUGCUGCGACCACAGGACGUCACUCAGGUCCACCUCGUCGCCGUGGAAACCGUGAUGGCCAGGCGAGGGGCGGGACAAGAAGGAGGAGGAGCCGCCGGUGGUGGUGGUGGCGGCCGUAACGGGAAGCAUGGCAGGAUCGGAAACUGAAGACGACGCGUCCCGGGCGGAGAGGCGGAGCUUCUGGACUUCAUCCUGUAAACUGUUUUGUCUGGCUUUUAGGUGGCUGAUGUCCACCUGGAAUCACACACACACAAAGUACCGUAAAGAAGAGCACAUGGUUCGGGGUGAAAAGGUGCAUAAAGAUGACGUCACCUCUUUCUGCUGCAGUACGGUCCUGUACUCCACCGACUGCUGUUUGACCUGAAUCUCCGCCGCCUCCAACUUCUCCUCCAGCUCAGCGUUUACUCUCCUCAUGCGUUCGUACUGAAGCAGAACGACACACACAGCAACCUUAAACCAGUCCAUGUACUUCAUGUUCUCUCUUUACUGUCUUAAAGUGCACAUCAGUGUAUGAAGUUCAUCUAGAACCUCCAAGAGGUCAGAGAACAAGCUGCAGAGCCUAAACGAUCAAAACACACCUCCGACCUCUGUGCAGAGAGCGCGGCCUCCAGCUCCAGCAGCUUGGAGUUAGACACGUGCAGCUCGGUGGCAGCAUCUGCAACACAUCACACACACGUCAGGAAUCAACCUCAAGGGACACGAGGACAGAGAAACGGUCCAACACGACAUCGGGGGGUCAGUGUAAAAGCUUCAGAGUGAACUCGCUUAGAGGACGGCUUUUAUCCUCCAGCAACGGAGGACACAUGGAGACGCUUUUGUCCCAGACCUGGUGGAAUUAUUAAAGCUAUGCAUCACAGCAUGAAGAGGAAGAAGAUUAGGAGAAAACGAAGAAUGUCUUUAGUGAAAUUGGAGAUUUGUCCGGUGAAAGACGAUAAACUUCCUCCCACCUGCCCGAGAGACUGACCGAGGCCUGAGCCUAGACCCCCUAACCAGGACGCCAUGACCGGCAGCUCUCACACACACACACUCUCUCUCUCUCUCUCUCUCUCUCACACACACACACACA